GACGAACGCUGGCGGCGUGCUUAACACAUGCAAGUCGAACGAUGAACUUGGAGCUUGCUCUGGGGGAUUAGUGGCGAACGGGUGAGUAACACGUGAGUAACCUGCCCUGGACUCUGGGAUAACUUCGAGAAAUCGGAGCUAAUACCGGAUAGGACCUUGCACCGCAUGGUGUGGGGUGGAAAGUUUUUCGGGUUGGGAUGGACUCGCGGCCUAUCAGCUUGUUGGUGAGGUAAUCGCUCACCAAGGCGUCGACGGGGAGCCGGCCUGAGAGGGUGACCGGCCAGACUGGGACUGAGACACGGCCCAGAGUCGUACGGGGGGCAGCAGUGGGGAAUAUUGCGAAAUGGGCGCAAGCCUGAUGCAGCCACGGCGCGUGCGGGAUGACGGCCUUCGGGUUGUAAACCGCUUUUAGUAGGGAAGAAGCAUUCGGGUGACGGUACCUGCAGAAAAAGGACCGGCUAACUACGUGCCAGCCGCCGCGGUAAGAC
rnacentral:rRNA from 1 species